ACCAGCGGAGGAUCAUUAUCGAGUGUUACAACUCCCAAACCCUAUGUGACCCUUACCUAUCGUUGCUUCGGCGGGAUCGUCCCGGUGGCCCAGCAUCUGGGCCGCCGGAUCCACGGCGCCCGCCGGGGGACCGAAACUCUUGCUUGUUUUCAGCGGUUUUCUCUCUGAGUGGCACAAGCAAUAAAAUGCUAAAUCAAAACUUUCAACAACGGAUCUCUUGGUUCUGGCAUCGAUGAAGAACGCAAGCGAAAUGCGAUAAGUAAUGUGAAUUGCAGAAUUCAGUGAAUCAUCGAAUCUUUGAACGCACAUUGCGCCCGCUAGUAUUCUGGCGGGCAUGCCUGUUCGAGCGUCAUUUCAACCCUCAAGCCCCUAAAGCUUGGCGUUGGGGAUCGGCCUCCCACCCCGGAGGCCGGCCCCGAAAUGCAGUGGCGGUCCCGCCGCAGCGUCCUCUGCGUAGUAGCAAACACCUCGCACUGGAGCGCGGCGCGGCCACGCCGUAAAGCAGAGCGCUCGCGCUCUACUACCCAAGGUUGACCUCGGAUCAGGUAGGAAUACCCGCUGAACUUAAGCAUAUCAAUAAGCGGAGGAAAAGAAACCAACAGGGAUUGCCUCAGUAACGGCGAGUGAAGCGGCAACAGCUCAAAUUUGAAAUCUGGCGCAAGCCCGAAUUGUAAUUUGCAGAGGAUGCUUUGGGCGCGGUGCCUUCCGAGUUCCCUGGAACGGGACGCCACAGAGGGUGAGAGCCCCGUCUGGUCGGAUGCCAAGCCUGUGUAAAGCUCCUUCGACGAGUCGAGUAGUUUGGGAAUGCUGCUCUAAAUGGGAGGUAUAUGUCUUCUAAAGCUAAAUACCGGCCAGAGACCGAUAGCGCACAAGUAGAGUGAUCGAAAGAUGAAAAGCACUUUGAAAAGAGGGUUAAAUAGUACGUGAAAUUGUUGAAAGGGAAGCGCUUGUGACCAGACUUGGGCCUGGCGAAUCAUCCGGCGUUCUCGCCGGGGCACUUUUCCAGGUUCAGUCCAGCAUCAGUUCGCCGCGGGGGAUAAAGGCUUCGGGAAUGUGGCUCUUCGGAGUGUUAUAGACCGUUGCGUAAUMCCCUGAGGUGGACUGAGGUCCGCUCCGCAA
rnacentral:rRNA from 1 species